CCUACGGGAGGCAGCAGUGAGGAAUAUUGGUCAAUGGACGAGAGUCUGAACCAGCCAAGUAGCGUGAAGGAUGACUGCUCUAUGGGUUGUAAACUUCUUUUAUAUGGGAAUAAAAUGUUCCACGUGUGGGAUUUUGUAUGUACCAUAUGAAUACGGAUCGGCUAACUCCGUGCCAGCAGCCGGGGUAAUACGGAGGUUCCGACCGUUAUCCGGAUUUAUUGGGUUUAAAGGGAGCGUAGGUGGAUUGUUAAGUCAGUUGUGAAAGUUCCCGGCUCAACCGUAAAAUUGCAGUUGAAACUGGCAGUCUAGAGUACAGUAGAGGUGGGCGGAAUUCGUGGUGUAGCGGUGAAAUGCGUAGAUAUCACGAAGAACUCCGAUUGCGAAGGCGGCUCACUGGACUACAACUGACACUGAGGCUCGAAAGUGUGGGUAUCAAACAGGAUUAGAUACCCGUGUAGUC
rnacentral:rRNA from 1 species